rnacentral:ribozyme from 1 species
GUCGUCUAAGCAGCAAACCGCCACGAGGUAGACGAUGGGCAACGGUGAUAAACCGGCUAAUUGCUGUA